CAUUAGGGUAGCUAGCUCGGCACACGCAAAAGACUUAAAAUCUUACCACGAAGGUUCAAAUCCUUCCCCUAACC
rnacentral:tRNA from 1 species